CUUUAGAAGAGGGGAGUUCAACCGACUUUUGAAAAUUCAACUUUUCAAAGGAUUCGCCCAAGGCUGCCAGCAGGGGGCAGCAGAGAACCACGCCUGUGCUUCGCCGCGGAGCCUUCGCUCGAAAUGGUCGAGCAUUUAGGGAAUGCCAGUUGUAUCCCGAGCGCUGCGCUGAGGGAUUGGGGAUCUAAGAGCCUACGGGAGCAAGGUGGAAAGGGUUAUCUACAUAUUCAUGAGUUCAUCAACCAAUCCACAGCCUGAACUCCGGUCUUUAGCGCCUAGGCGAUUGUGAUGUCACAGGGACGCCUCUUGUGAUCCUUAAAGACGCAGUAACCUCUCCCGAAGAAGGAAGGUUGCAACCACAACUGCAGGAUUCGCUUCGGAGUUUGAAGUGUGCUCCGGCCCAGGACCCAGGGGCUUGAGUGCGGAAGAGCAGAUUGAACUCCGGACCUCGCGGUUGUGAGGCAGGCAGCAGAACCACUGAGCUAAAUCCCUGGCCCCACCAAACCAAACUAAACCAAACCACAAUGAAAGAAAGGAAGGAAGGAAGGAAGGAAGAAAAGCUCAAACCAAUGACUCACAGGCAAAUUCCAGCGGUGAGCUGUUUGCACUGCGUUCUUGGUUCCCGGCUAAACCUCUCUGAGCCUCAGCCUCUGUUUCAGAGACCAACUGAGUAUUACCAACCUCAGCUCUUGGGCGGACUGGGGGUGACAGUGUGCCCAGCACACCGUAGGAACUGUACAAGUAGCUCUACUCCUCCCUGCGACCCACGGCAGCUUCUGACCCACACUCAGUGGCCACCAUUGCCUCCCUUCAAGCCAUGAGCUCCGCCCCUCCAGGUCUCUCAAUCCCGGGCUUCGGGCUGAAGUGAGACCAUUGUCCCAGCCAGGAAUGAGGAGGUGCUGGGAAGCUGGCAAUAUCCAGGCUGUGUUUUGAAGGAUGCAUAGGAGUCCCCAGGCGAUAGAAGAAACAAGGCUGUGGUGGCCAGAGGGGAUGAAUGAGCAAAGGGUUGGAGUGCAGAGGAGGAGGGGAGCCAGGCCUAGUCAGGGUGGGGACCUGGCUUAUCCUUCGGACCCCAGGAGGUGGGGUGGGGCUCCAGCCUGCAGGCAGCCCCUCCCCAGAAGUCCUCCUGUCCCUGCGGGGCCCGCACAUCCAGGCCAGGAGCGCGGGAGGGCGCUGUCCUCUGGCCUGGACACACACUCAGUGCUCCUCAGUGCCCGGCAGAGACAGCGACAAGCCAGUGAAGAUCAAAG
rnacentral:lncRNA from 1 species